rnacentral:rRNA from 1 species
GAUGAACGCUGGCGGCGUGCCUAAUACAUGCAAGUCGAGCGAACAGACGAGGAGCUUGCUCCUCUGACGUUAGCGGCGGACGGGUGAGUAACACGUGGAUAACCUACCUAUAAGACUGGGAUAACUUCGGGAAACCGGAGCUAAUACCGGAUAAUAUAUUGAACCGCAUGGUUCAAUAGUGAAAGACGGUUUUGCUGUCACUUAUAGAUGGAUCCGCGCCGCCUUAGCUAGUUGGUAAGGUAACGGCUUACCAAGGCGACGAUGCGUAGCCGACCGGAGAGGGUGAGCGGCCACACUGGAACUGAGACACGGUCCAGACUCCUACGGGAGGCAGCAGUAGGGAAUCUUCCGCAAUGGGCGAAAGCCUGACGGAGCAACGCCGCGUGAGUGAUGAAGGGCUUCGGAUCGUAAAACUCUGUUAUUAGGGAAGAACAAAUGUGUAAGUAACUAUGCACGUCUUGACGGUACCUAAUCAGAAAGCCACGGCUAACUACGUGCCAGCAGCCGCGGUAAUAC